AUGGUCUUCGCCGAGAGCCAAACCAUGGGCAGUCGGCAAAGUAAGAGACGCCGAGCGUCACUCUCGGUUAAGGGAGCUCGGCAAACACAUGUUAAUGCCAUGAGUAGGCCUCGGCAAAAAGGUUACACUCGGCAAAGGAACUAUUUGCCAAGGGCCAAGUGGCCACCACACGGCAAAGUUUUGCCACGUGGAAGGCUGCAAGAUGAAGAUGAAAAAAGUUCCGGCGUGAAGUGUUUUUGCGCCACACUCCUAUGGAAAAAAAAGUUCAGCAUGUAUACGAAAAAAAAUAUCAUCAUGUAUUCAGAAAAGUGUUCAUCAUGUACUUGA
rnacentral:rRNA from 1 species